rnacentral:rRNA from 1 species
UUCGGUACGUAGGUAGGUGGCGGGCGGUGGGUAACGCGUGGGUAACCUGCCUCAUACAGGGGAGUAACAGUUAGAAAUGACUGCUAAUACCGCAUAAGACCACAGUACCGCAUGGUACAGGGGUAAAAACUCCGGUGGUAUGAGAUGGACCCGCGUCUGAUUAGGUAGUUGGUGGGGUAACGGCCUACCAAGCCGACGAUCAGUAGCCGACCUGAGAGGGUGACCGGCCACAUUGGGACUGAGACACGGCCCAA